rnacentral:rRNA from 1 species
AACGAACGCUGGCGGCAGGCUUAACACAUGCAAGUCGAACGCAUCCUUCGGGGUGAGUGGCAGACGGGUGAGUAACGCGUGGGAACGUGCCCUUCAGUUCGGGAUAACCCAGGGAAACUUGGGCUAAUACCGGAUACGUGCGAGAGCAGAAAGAUUUAUCGCUGAAGGAUCGGCCCGCGUCUGAUUAGCUGGUUGGUAGGGUAAUGGCCUACCAAGGCGACGAUCAGUAGCUGGUCUGAGAGGAUGAUCAGCCACAUUGGGACUGAGACACGGCCCAAACUCCUACGGGAGGCAGCAGUGGGGAAUAUUGGACAAUGGGCGCAAGCCUGAUCCAGCCAUGCCGCGUGAGUGAUGAAGGCCUUAGGGUUGUAAAGCUCUUUCAGUGGGGACGAUAAUGACGGUACCCGCAGAAGAAGCCCCGGCUAACUUCGUGCCAGCCGCCGCCGUAA